rnacentral:tRNA from 1 species
AAAGAAAUAUUUUUAAAAAGCUUCUAACUUUUUCUUAGCAACAUAUUGUUAU